rnacentral:rRNA from 1 species
CCCGAGUGCACCUCUUCGGGUGACCAGCGGCGGACGGGUGAGUAAUGUCUGGGAAACUGCCUGAUGGAGGGGGAUAACUACUGGAAACGGUAGCUAAUACCGCAUAACGUCUUCGGACCAAAGAGGGGGACCUUCGGGCCUCUUGCCAUCAGAUGUGCCCAGAUGGGAUUAGCUAGUAGGUGAGGUAAUGGGUCACCUAGGCGACGAUCCCUAGCUGGUCUGAGAGGAUGACCAGCCACACUGGAACUGAGACACGGUCCAGACUCCUACGGGAGGCAGCAGUGGGGAAUAUUGCACAAUGGGCGCAAGCCUGAUGCAGCCAUGCCGCGUGUGUGAAGAAAGCCUUCGGGUUGUAAAGCACUUUCACCGGGGAGGAAGGCGGUGAGAUUAAUACUCUCAUCGAUUGACGUUACCCGCAGAAAAAGCACCGGCUAACUCCGUGCCAGCAGCCGCGGUAAUACGGAGGGUGCAAGCGUUAAUCGGAAUGACUGGGCGUAAAGCGCACGCAGGCGGUUUGUUAAGUCAGAUGUGAAAUCCCCGAGCUUAACUUGGGAACUGCAUUUGAAACUGGCAAGCUAGAGUCUUGUACAGGGGGGUAGAAUUCCCGGUGUAUCGCUGAAAUGCGUAGAGAUCUGGAGGAAUACCGGUGGCGAAAGCGGCCCCCUGCACAAAGACUGACGCUCACGUGCGAAAGCGUGGGGAGCAAACAGGAUUAUAUACCCCUGGGACUCCCACGCUGU